rnacentral:rRNA from 1 species
GCACGUAGUUGGCCGGGCCUUCUUCUGCAGGUACCGUCAAUUUCGUCCCUGCUGAAAGCGGUUUACAACCCGAAGGCCUUCAUCCCGCACGCGGCGUCGCUGCGUCAAGGUUUCCCUCAUUGCGCAAGAUUCCCUACUGCUGCCUCCCGUAGGAGUCUGGGCCGUGUCUCAGUCCCAGUGUGGCUGAUCGUCCUCUCAGACCAGCUAUCCGUCGUCGCCUUGGUAGGCCGUUACCCCACCAACAAGCUGAUAGACCGCGAGCCCAUCCCAAAGCGCCUGAACAUUUCCUCUUCCAACCAUGCGAUCGGAGGAGGACAUCCGGUAUUAGCCCGGGUUUCCCCGGGUUAUCCCAGUCUUUGGGGCAGGUUGCUCACGUGUUACGCACCCGUUCGCCGCUUUCCACGGGACCGAAGUCCCGCUUCACGCUCGACUUGCAUGUAUGAGGCGCGCCGCCAGCGUUCGUC